ACAAGGAAGGAUCGCAUUUCAUCAUUGUUAACAAAAGGGAUAUUUAUAAUAUAACGGAGGUUUAGUCGUAUAGACUCAAAUAACUAGUAAGUUCGGAUAACUCCGACUUAGCCAAAAUAACAUAAAACUUCUGAGUACGCAACGGAAUAAGGUUCUGAUUACAUGUAUGAAGACAUGUAUCCCUAGAGUUCAUUAAUACAUAAUAAGACAAAAGAGUCCCGCUCGUCACUUCAUCACCACCAGCAGCUGCUCAACCUGCACAUUUAGAAAUAUAUGCAGGGCUGAGUACAAAAGUACUCAGUGGGCACGUAUGCCUAAGUAUAAAAAUACAUGCUUCAAAACUGUAAAUUGUCAUGCCAUCAUAAACAGUACAGCAAGGGAGUUUUUCGCUAAAAAGGCCCAAGCUUACUAAAUUCAUUUGUGAUUCUUAAAGUUCGUCUGCAGACUAAGUUCUCAUAAUCCAUCAUAUCUGAAGCUAUGUGCCGGAGAGGUGGCCACCUCUCGCGGUCACUUGACCGGCCAACCCGCUAGAUGACUCACGGUCACUGGUGUACACUAGUCCUGGCAGGAUAGCUAUCAACUGCUCAGGACCCGAAUUCGAUUGCAUCAUUGGCAAAGCCAAAGCAGAUAGAUAUCAUACUAAAAUUGAAACAAUUUUAUGGCAAGACAAUACUUGAAAUAACUUUAACUCAAAGAUUUUAUCAUGAAAUAACUUGUUCAACUGUAAAAUGAAACUCAUUUGAUAAUAUAUAAAACUGAAAUUAACAGUUAAAUCAUCUCAUGCAUUCAUUCGUAUAAGAGGCCUACGACACGCAGGGGAUCUCUAUAUACGUAUAGUAAAAGUAAUGCCCACCUGGUAUGCUUAAUGAAGUAGAGAUCCUUGCUUGUUUACUUUAUAAAGCCACUCGAACCUUCAUUAUAAUGAGGUUCCCAAGUAAGAUUGGAUAAUAAGUAAGUAAAUAGAAAGUAAAUCUUGAAUGAAACUUCUAUCACUUGAAAGUUGCAUACUCUAAUCUGAGUAUUCUACUUAUAUGGACUUAACUAAAAACAAAUAGUAACAUCACAUCUCUUGGGAUAUCUCAAAUUGAGAAAAGCUUAAGAGUAAACUAAUCCAUUCUAUAUAGAUUAGCUUACAAUUAAUAACUAAACAUCAAUCACUUAGCAUAGUUCUAAUAAUAACUUGCUCAAGUAAGAAUCUCAAAUAUGUAAUCAUAUAUGAAUAUCAACUUUGAAAUAUCAUAUAAAAUCAACCUCUUUAAAGAAAAAUACAAACUUUACAUUUUUAGAAAUCUCUCGAUCUAUUUUAUUAGAAAUUACAAAAUACAAUACAUCAAGUGUAUAAGAAAUUAUAUCACAAAAGGCAAAAUCUACCACUGAACUUCGCUACUUCGCGCAGUACAUUUCAGAAAAUAGUUAACACAUCUAAUGGUCUCGGAUUUAGCUGAAUUUGCAGAACGACUACACAUGAUAAGUUAUUACAGUAAAAAUUUCAACUCAUUUGGACUACGAAAACAUAAUCAAAAGCACCCCGAAACAUACUGCCCUGUCAACCCGAAAACUGACAGCAAAGCUCAUUGACAUAUCACUCAUAUUUCCCUCAAAUAACAGCUAUAGGAACUCAAAUACAUCAUCUUAACACACAUUAGCAUGCUUUAGCUUAACUUAAUUCAUGUUCAACACAUCAACAUAUAGUAGCAUGCUUAUAUCCUCCAAUUAUUAUCAUAUAAUCUCUAUUUACACUCAAAGAGUACAAUUACACAAGCAUCAAACAUGUAGCUAUCUUACAUCAAGAAUUCCCAAAUCCACUGAAACUAAACUAUUAGAAAAUCAUGAUUUCUUGCAAAUAAAAACUCAAAUAAAUCUCAAUGAUUCCCUCACAAACAUAUAAAUAUAUAUACGCAGCCAAUUGAUGGAAAUUAAGAAGAUGGAAUUCUAGGGUUCUUGAGGGAAUCGACAAUUGGGGGUUUUAUCUAGCUUUGAUUGUUUUCAUCCUAUCACUAAAUUCUAAUCAGUCUCUAAUUGAAAGCAUAGAGAAAUUAAGAUAAAAUAUGAAUAUGAAGCCUAUCCUUCCAGCCCCCACUUUCGAAACAAAACAAACAGAGUAGAUAAGAGAAUUAUUGUUUUCUCUAAUUUCUAUUGUGAAUAGAAUACUUGACUAUAAAAAUUCUUACCUGUACUCUUGGAUGAUUAUAAGAGGAUUCAAUUGUUCCGAAAGCUUGGUGAGGAAACAACAAAAGAAAUGAAAGAACAAGUGGGAGAAAAUAGCGUCUGAGCAAGGAACUAAAAUGAAAAGUAGGUUUUCAUGUUUUCUUGAAGUAAAAGAAGAAUGGAGAUUAUACGCAUGAAAGGGAAAGUCGUAGGGAAGAUAAGGAUAAAGAAAGUAAUGACUUCUCCCAUAAGCUUUUUCUUGUUCUAAUCCAAAAACUAGAUAUACAUGCUAUUUUAUUAAUAAAGUUUUAAGGAAAAUGUUAUAAAAUCCACUCCAUAUUACUCCUUGUGCAUAUAUCAAACCAAAAUCCAUAGACACAAGUGAAAUAGAAAAUUUUAAAAUAAAUAAAUAAAACUUCAAAGGUUACUUUAACUCAAAUUUCUUGUGAGAUAAAAUCCCAAAUAAAUUCAUUCCUAAAAUUAGGAAAUGAAUUUGCUAAAAUAAAAUUCUUGCUAUCUCAAAUAUGAUCUCAAAUUCAUGACUUAAUAUUAAAUCAUCACUAUUAAAAUAAAAAGCUCAUAGAUAAAUAAUUAAAUAACAUCCGUCACUUCGAUUAGUCGAGCGAUAAGUCGACUAAUAAUAUUUCUUAUUUAUCACCAAUCUCAUCUCUGAAAAUAAUAAAAUAAUC
rnacentral:lncRNA from 1 species